AGCGAACGCUGGCGGCAGGCCUAACACAUGCAAGUCGAACGAACUCUUCGGAGUUAGUGGCGGACGGGUGAGUAACACGUGGGAACGUGCCUUUUGGUUCGGAAUAACUCAGGGAAACUUGUGCUAAUACCGAAUGUGCCCUUCGGGGGAAAGAUUUAUCGCCAUUAGAGCGGCCCGCGUCUGAUUAGCUAGUUGGUGAGGUAACGGCUCACCAAGGCGACGAUCAGUAGCUGGUCUGAGAGGAUGACCAGCCACACUGGGACUGAGACACGGCCCAGACCCCUACGGGAAGCAGCAGUGGGGAAUCUUGCGCAAUGGGCGAAAGCCUGACGCAGCCAUGCCGCGUGAAUGAUGAAGGUCUUAGGAUUGUAAAAUUCUUUCACCGGGGACGAUAAUGACGGUACCCGGAGAAGAAGCCCCGGCUAACUUCGUG
rnacentral:rRNA from 1 species